rnacentral:rRNA from 1 species
GGUAAUGCCGGAUGCUCCAGUUGAUCGCAUGGUCUUCUGGGAAAGCCUUUGCGGCAUGGGAUGGGGUCGCGUCCUAUCAGCUUGAUGGCGGGGUAACGGCCCACCAUGGCUUCGACGGGUAGCCGGCCUGAGAGGGCGACCGGCCACAUUGGGACUGAGAUACGGCCCAGACUCCUACGGGAGGCAGCAGUGGGGAAUAUUGCACAAUGGGCGCAAGCCUGAUGCAGCGACGCCGCGUGAGGGAUGGAGGCCUUCGGGUUGUAAACCUCUUUUGUUAGGGAGCAAGGCAUUUUGUGUUGAGUGUACCUUUCGAAUAAGCACCGGCUAACUACGUGCCAGCAGCCGCGGUAAUACGUAGGGUGCAAGCGUUAUCCGGAAUUAUUGGGCGUAAAGGGCUCGUAGGCGGUUCGUCGCGUCCGGUGUGAAAGUCCAUCGCUUAACGGUGGAUCCGCGCCGGGUACGGGCGGGCUUGAGUGCGGUAGGGGAGACUGGAAUUCCCGGUGUAACGGUGGAAUGUGUAGAUA